rnacentral:rRNA from 1 species
UACAGAGGGUGCGAGCGUUGUCCGGAAUCACUGGGCGUAAAGGGCGCGUAGGCGGUGACUUAAGCGUGUGGUGAAAGCUCGGGGCUCAACCCCGAGUCGGCCGUGCGAACUGGGUCACUGGAGCAUGUCAGAGGCAGGCGGAAUUCCGGGUGUAGCGGUGGAAUGCGUAGAGAUCCGGAAGAACACCGGUGGCGAAGGCGGCAUCCUGGACCGGCAUUGACGCUGAGGCGCGAAAGCCAGGGGAGCAAACGGG